rnacentral:rRNA from 1 species
GAUGAACGCUAGCGGCAGGCCUAACACAUGCAAGUCGAGGGAGAGGUUAUCUUCGGGUAACCAAAACCGGCGCACGGGUGCGUAACGCGUAUACAAUCUGCCUUUCACAUAGGGAUAGCCCGAAGAAAUUUGGAUUAAUACCUAAUGGUAUAUAAGAGCGGCAUCGUUUUUAUAUUAAAGCUACGGUGGUGAAAGAUGAGUAUGCGUUCUAUUAGCUAGUUGGAGAGGUAACGGCUCCCCAAGGCGACGAUAGAUAGGGGUUCUGAGAGGGAUGUCCCCCACACUGGUACUGAGAUACGGACCAGACUCCUACGGGAGGCAGCAGUGAGGAAUAUUGGACAAUGGUCGGAAGACUGGUCCAGCCAUGCCGCGUGCAGGAUGAAGGUCCUAUGGAUUGUAAACUGCUUUUGUAAGGGAAGAAUAAGGAGUACGUGUACUUUGAUGACGGUACCUUACGAAUAAGCAUCGGCUAACUCCGUGCCAGCAGCCGCGGUAAUACGGAGGAUGCGAGCGUUAUCCGGAAUCAUUGGGUUUAAAGGGUCCGUAGGCGGGCUGAUAAGUCAGAGGUGAAAGCGCUUAGCUCAACUAAGCAACUGCCUUUGAAACUGUCAGUCUUGAAUGAUUGUGAAGUAGUUGGAAUGUGUAGUGUAGCGGUGAAAUGCUUAGAUAUUACACAGAACACCGAUAGCGAAGGCAUAUUACUAACAAUUUAUUGACGCUGAUGGACGAAAGCGUGGGGAGCGAACAGG